CCCUUAGAUGUCCGGGGCCGCACGCGCGCUACACUGAAGGAAUCAGCGUGGCUUUCUCCCUGACCCGAAAGGGUUGGGAAACCCGUUGAAUCUCCUUCGUGAUAGGGAUUGGGGCUUGAAAUUGUUCCCCAUGAACGAGGAAUUCCCAGUAAGCGCGAGUCAUAAGCUCGCGUUGAUUACGUCCCUGCCCUUUGUACACACCGCCCGUCGCUACUACCGAUUGAACGGUUUAGUGAGGGCCUCGGAUCGGCCCUGUCGCGGCUGGCAACGGCCGCGUCGGCGCGUCGAGAAGACGAUCAAACUUGAUCAUUUAGAGGAAGUAAAAGUCGUAACA
rnacentral:rRNA from 1 species